UACAGAGGGGGCAAGCGUUGUUCGGAAUUACUGGGCGUAAAGGGCGCGUAGGCGGCCUGUUAAGUCGGACGUGAAAUCCCCGGGCUCAACCCGGGAACUGCGUCCGAUACUGGCAGGCUUGAAUCCGGGAGAGGGAUGUGGAAUUCCAGGUGUAGCGGUGAAAUGCGUAGAGAUCCGAAGGAACGCCGGUGGCGAAAGCGGCGGACUGGGCACCUUCUGACGCUGAGGCGCGAAAGCCAGGGGAGCAAACGGG
rnacentral:rRNA from 1 species